UACGGAGGAUGCAAGUGUUAUCCGGAAUCACUGGGCGUAAAGCGUCUGUAGGUGGUUUAAAAAGUCUGCUGUUAAAAAUUGAAGCUUAACUUCAAAGAUGCCGUAGAAACUUUUAAACUAGAGUAUGAUAGGGGUAGAGGGAAUUUCCAGUGGAGCGGUGAAAUGUGUAGAUAUGUGGAGGAACACCAGUGGCGAAGGCGACUUUCUGGUCUGUAACUGACACUGAGGCGCGAAAGCGUGGGGAGCAAACAGG
rnacentral:rRNA from 1 species